rnacentral:tRNA from 1 species
GCGCCUGUAGUUCAACGGAUAGAUCGCAUCCCUGCGAAGGAUGAGAUUGAGGUUCGAUUCCUCACAGGCGCA